rnacentral:rRNA from 1 species
UGGGGAAUAUUGCACAAUGGGCGCAAGCCUGAUGCAGCCAUGCCGCGUGUAUGAAGAAGGCCUUCGGGUUGUAAAGUACUUUCAGCGGGGAGGAAGGGAGUAAAGUUAAUACCUUUGCUCAUUGACGUUACCCGCAGAAGAAGCACCGGCUAACUCCGUGCCAGCAGCCGCGGUAAUACGGAGGGUGCAAGCGUUAAUCGGAAUUACUGGGCGUAAAGCGCACGCAGGCGGUUUGUUAAGUCAGAUGUGAAAUCCCCGGGCUCAACCUGGGAACUGCAUCUGAUACUGGCAAGCUUGAGUCUCGUAGAGGGGGGUAGAAUUCCAUGUGUAGCGGUGAAAUGCGUAGUGAUGUGGAGGAAUACCGGUGGCGAAGGCGGCCCCCUGGACAAAGACUGACGCUCAGGUGCGAAAGCGUGGGGAGCAAACAGG